rfam:Schistosoma mansoni, Puerto Rico, WGS project CABG01000000 data, contig: 0225
AUCCAGUUGAAGAGUCCCACACAGGACGAAACGCGCGUCGAACUUGGAC